CACCGCGUAGCUCAGUUGGCAGAGCGUUGGGCUAGUAUUCCAAAGGUCGUAGGUUCGAUUCCCACCGUGGCCA
rnacentral:tRNA from 1 species